rnacentral:rRNA from 1 species
CCUACGGGGGGCAGCAGUGAGGAAUAUUGGUCAAUGGGCGAGAGCCUGAACCAGCCAAGUCGCGUGAGGGAAGACGGUCCUACGGAUUGUAAACCUCUUUUGUCAGGGAGCAAGGAGCGCCACGAGUGGUGCGGCGAGAGUACCUGAAGAAAAAGCAUCGGCUAACUCCGUGCCAGCAGCCGCGGGAAUACGUAGGGGGCAAGCGUUAUCCGGAUUUACUGGGUGUAAAGGGGGCGCAGACGGCAAUGCAAGCCAGGAGUGCAAGUCCGGGGCCCAACCCCGGGACUGCUCUUGGAACUGCAUGGCUGGAGUACAGGAGGGGCAGGCGGAAUUCCUAGUGUAGCGGUGAAAUGCGUAGAUAUUAGGAGGAACACCGGUGGCGAAGGCGGCCUGCUGGACUGUGACUGACGUUGAGGCCCGAAGGCGUGGGGAGCAAACAGGAUGAGAUACCCCAGUAGUC